CUCAAAUUAGUUAUGCUGCGUUCAUAAUAUGGUAAUGGGUGAAAGUAAGGCAGGACGGUCCUGUAUGGCGUCCCAGCAAAAUAAAUAGUGGGGGUACGCGGUACCGGUAAAACGUGAGCCUUUCACAACAUGCCCAAAAAUCUAUAGGCUACACCAUUAUUUAACAUUACGGCAUUUCAGGCCCAUUAAAAAUGUGCGAAUUGACUCGAAACCAGGUGGUGGUAUACGCACCAAAUUGUGUUGUGGUUUGAGGAGAACACUUAUAUUUUGACGAGGCAGAGAUAUUGGCUGAGACGCUCGCGGACAAGGCGGAGAUGAGCGCGUGGACAACAGAGGAUGCAUCAAUUCAGGCUACAAGUGUAGGCCUAAUGACAAUCAUAGAAUGUUAUUACAAUACACGAAGGUCUUUUGUAACAGAUAUGUCUUUCCAUUCAUCAGUGCACUGUUGGGGUUUGGGUGCUGAUAUUACUUUGUGAGUGGACGAAUGUGCGCGGGGGGCCUACAGGAGCGCAUUUGUUAAGUGAUUGUUUGACAAUCAGAUACAAAUAUAUUGACUGGUUGUGUUUACGCCACAUUAAAAGGCAUAGGCCGCGUGUCCAUAAGGCUAAGGGAAGCUUUCCCUAAAGUAAAUGUAAUUAAAUUGCCAAAAGUGUAUAGCCUAAUUGGCUUACUCCUGUCUAUAGAUAAAUAAAUAAAAUCAUAAAAAAUAGGCUACUGCACCAGAAAGCAUGAUUUGGCCACAGAGGAUCAUUAGCUUCAUAAACAAACAAAAAAACGGGAUUUUAAAAAAAUCGCAUGGCCCACAGUCGGAAGGGCUGUGGGCUAUGCGAGCUGCAAAUACCAAAUAAUAGAUCAUUGUUGAGUUGCGACUGUCAGUGAAAAGCAAAGAGACCCAGCCAGGCAUAUUGCAAAAUUUAAAAACACAAUCGCGGGAAAACUGUUUGGAAAGCAAAUGGCUAAGAUAUUACAAUGAAAAGAUUCCAAUCUGUCUUUUAGUUUUCAAAAUUAUUAACUUAAUUGAGGGAACAGUAUGGGCACCAGCGGAGAACUUCGGCCAUAUCCCCGGUGAGUGUGCAUAUUCACUGUCUUUGUCAUUGGGUCAAUGCCACAAUAAUAAUUUCCUCUUCCAGGUUAGAUGGACUUCAUAUUGUAUUUGUGUCUCCACUUUUCGUAGGCCAAUUAUACAUUGAUCAGACAAUAUUGUUUUUAUUGAUCUGUUUGUUAUUGUCAACAGAGUAGGCUACCCUGUAUUUUUUGUAGUAUAAAAAAAAUGUGUGCAUGCACUUGGGUGUCCAGUACCAGUAAGAAAUUAAAUCUACUUUAACCCCUGAAUGUGAAAUACCACCUUUCCACUCAGUUAUGAAUGCAUCAUUACACUGAAUUUAUGCUUGGUUCAUAACCAAGUAGGAAGGUAGUAUCUACCAAAUAUGACUGGAAAAAUCCACAUGAAAGCCCCUCCAAAUUCGUCUAUCAUCUAGGUGGCAGUGUGCACCCUUUCAGUUUGUUUGCCAACUCACCAAAGUAGUAGAAGAAGAAAAUGGACUACUUCAAAAUGGAGAUGGCCUCAAUGGUGCUGCCAGUGCACAAAAUGUGAUUCAUUCUAAAGAGUAGGCCCAGAGAAAAUUACACAGAGUGCUCAAUAGCCUUCACCAACAAGAGAUAGAAUUCAGGCAACAGACAACCAGCAACGAUAACUUUCAGAAGCAGAUUAAGAGCCUUCGCAAGGAGAAGACACAACUGCAGUCCCACAAAUCUUCACUUGGUGAGAUAACUUUGUGUGAGACACCCUAAUUAGGAUUUGAUAUAUUGACUAGUAACCAAACAAACAUUGUCUUCACAGAGGAAAGCUCUGGCCUAUGUUUGCCAAGAUGUGAUAUGCUAAACUCAAUGUGUUACUACUUUGCAAUUUCUGUCACCAUUGAGCCUAGAAGCUGGGGAGAGGCGAGAAAAGACUGUUUAAGUCAUGGAGCUGACCUGGUUCUGGUAGAUAGCUGGGAGAAGCAGGCAUUCAUAAGUAAGAUGAUACACAAAGUGCAGUUUAACACCAAACCCAUGCACAUGAAAGGGUUAUGGAUAGGACUGAAGGAGGAAGAGGAUACAGAGGGCACCUGGACAUGGGUUAACGGGACUGAGCUGACUCAGAGGUACUGGCAUGAGACAGCCCAAAGACCACUUUGGAAUGGAGGACUGUGCGGCCAUCCAUCCCAAAAUAUAUCCCAUGAAGUCCUGGAAUGAUGCUGUGUACACAUCCAUUGAAAUGGAUAUGUGAAAUAAAAUCAAGGAAAGCUUAGAAAUUACUGUAAAAUUUCCAUUAUUUCAAUAAGUAAAUACAUACAUUCAAAAUAAUAAGCAUUGGAAUCAAAUGUAACUUAAGUUGUACAUAACAUUUUAUCUGAUAAAAGAAAUUGUCAUACUGUAAAGUUAAACACAACUUAAUUUGUUCUGCAUCUUAAAAAAAAAAAAAAAACAUGUUUAUAUAGUUUAUUCCUUACAAACAA